rnacentral:rRNA from 1 species
CCUACGGGUGACAGCAGUGAGGAAUAUUGGUCAAUGGGCGCGAGCCUGAACCAGCCAAGUAGCGUGAAGGAUGACUGCCCUACGGGUUGUAAACUUCUUUUAUCAAGUCAUAAAGUGAGGCCCGUGUGCCUUUUUGUCUUUAUUUUAUGAAUCCGGAUCGGCUGACUCCGUGCCAUCAGCCUCGGUAAUACGGAGGCUCCUGGCGUUAGCCUGAUUUAUUGGGUUUAAAGGGAGCGGAGAUGGGUUGUUAAGGCAGUUGUGAAAGUUUGCGGCUCAACCGUAAAAGUGCAAUUGCUACUGGCAGCCUUGAGUACAGUUGAGGUAGGCGGAAUGCGUGGUGUAGCGGUGAAAUGCUUAGAUAUCACGAAGAACUCCGAUUGCGAAGGCAGCCUACUAAACUGCCACUGACAUUGAUGCUCGAAAGUGUGGGUAGCAAACAGGAUUAGAUACCCCAGUAGUC